rnacentral:lncRNA from 1 species
AUCACCUUACCAUUCUCUACAGGUUGACCAGAACAAAAUACCCAACCGCAACGUGUGCCAGAGGAGCUGCUGCACUAGAGAGCCCCGCCGCUGAUGAGUUUCAAUUUUUUUUUUUUUUUUCGGCCAAACAAGACCCUUUAACGUUUUUUCUCGCAAGAAUUGAUAUAAAAUCGGCUGAAUUCGGCCGAAACGAUUGAAAACAGCCGACCCCAGAUGGAUCGCCGCCGCGGGCGGCAGCACUGUUGCCGUAGCACGACGGAGCCGCCGUGCCAGAAUUUCAAAAUUGGCCAAGUGGGCUCUGGGACUAAUU